rnacentral:piRNA from 1 species
UGUCUGCUGUUCACUCUAAGAUGUCC